GCGUGCGAUGGAGCUUGCCCUUCCGGGCAGCUACCUUGUGGCGGUGGAUUAACCCGAGGUCCCUCCUUAGGUUUCUCAACGUGUCGAAUCCGAAUCUGCCCUCCGUUUUCUGAAAUUCGAUUGUUUUAAAAUAGUUUCUUUAUUAGCCGUACUUUGUACGAAAACGCGUUUAUACAUUGGUACGUUACUUAUUUACAUAAAUGGUUUUGUUUCUAGGAAAAACGCAUCACAAGGACUCUCGAUUCUACGAGGCAAGUUUGACUCGAUGACUUGAUUUGUGAGUGGGUCCUUUCUUUUAUAAAGUUUAUAUAUAUUUGUUAGUUUCCACAUAUAUAUUCAUUAAUGAAUAUUCUACAUAAUUGUCACAAUUAAAUUAAAGUUUAUAAGAAAUGUCUUAUUGUUGGGAAAUUAUGAAAUAAUCUAACGGGAUGCACAGGUAAACUUACUAUAAGGGGAUGCCUUAAUUAUAUUUAAAGUCAUGAAUGGUAUUAUAUUGACUAGAAUUGUUGAAUUACUGUGGCUUGAUUAUAUUUACAUUAUCUGCUCGUCGUUGCUUCAUCAGUGUUAGUACUCGCCUGGGGCCAGGGCCAUUCUUUCACGUGUAUGUGCACAUCGUACACUCACAUUGGAUCCAUUGUAGGUGCCAGUCAUGUCCUAGUGUGUUAUAGGCAAUUAGGACUCAUAUGUGCUACGCAUAGCUCUAGUAUUCAUGUGAUUGUAGUACUAGAGCAUAAAUCAUUAUUACACCCAAUCCUAUUCAUGUCAGAAUACCUUUGCAUGAACUUGUGUGUCAGCAUAUGUCAAUGAGCACUCGGUGUGAUACGUUUGUUUAUGUGAGAUAUUGUGACUAUCGAACGUUAGAUGGUUAUUUACGAAAUAUAUUGUGAGGUAUUGAAUUCUUGUAUUACAGGCUACGGUAAGUACUUUCAUACUAUAUGUAGUAUGUUUAUUUUGGAAACUAUACUUGUUUUACGGCGAGGGGUUAAUAUGUUUGCGAAAAGGGUUUUUAUCAAACUUUAUUUUUAGGCCCACCCACCCUUGUUUUUCGCCCCUCCAGGUUCUAGAAGCAGAUCAUUCGUAUCGACAAGGAUUUUUUGCAAAUCUUGAUAUAGGUGUUUACCUUCGAUGGUAUAAUUCUUAUUCUUCUUUACUGUACUUUACUUAGGCUUUAACAUCACGUGUGAAUUGGGUUCAUUCCCGCUCACAAGCGCACUCUUAUAUUUAGGUACUUUUAGGUUUAAAUUUAUUCACAUUUUCCACAUCACUACACUUUAUGCCUUUGUCACCCUCCUGGUAUCGGCCAACACAACUCAAUUCAAAGUCCAAGUGGACAUUCUGGGUCGGGG
rnacentral:lncRNA from 1 species